UGAACGCUAGCGACAGGCCUAACACAUGCAAGUCGAGGGGUAACAUGAGUAGCUUGCUACUUGAUGACGACCGGCGCACGGGUGAGUAACGCGUAUGCAACCUUUCUUCAACAGGAGAAUAGCCCCCGGAAACGGGGAUUAAUGCUCCAUGAUGCUAUUUUAUUGCAUGAUAGAAUAGUUAAAGCUGAGGCGGUUGAAGGUGGGCAUGCGUGACAUUAGCUUGUUGGCGGGGUAACGGCCCACCAAGGCGACGAUGUCUAGGGGUUCUGAGAGGAAGGUCCCCCACACUGGUACUGAGACACGGACCAGACUCCUACGGGAGGCAGCAGUGAGGAAUAUUGGUCAAUGGACGCAAGUCUGAACCAGCCAUGUCGCGUGCAGGAAGACGGCCCUACGGGUUGUAAACUGCUUUUGUACGGGAAGAAAAUGUCUUACGUGUAAGACUUUGCCGGUACCGUACGAAUAAGCAUCGGCUAACUCCGUGCCAGCAGCCGCGGUAAUACGGAGGAUGCGAGCGUUAUCCGGAAUUAUUGGGUUUAAAGGGUGCGUAGGCGGAAUGGUAAGUCAGCGGUGAAAUACUGCAGCUCAACUGUAGUUGUGCCGUUGAUACUGUCAUUCUUGAGUAUAGAUGAGGUAGGCGGAAUGAGUAGUGUAGCGGUGAGAUGCAUAGAUAUUACUCAGAACACCGAUUGCGAAGGCAGCUUACUAAACUAUAACUGACGCUGAAGCACGAAAGCGUGGGUAUCAAACAGGAUUAGAUACCCUGGUAGUCCACGCUGUAAACGAUGAUUACUGGUUGUUUGGGCGAAAGAGCUCAAGCGACUGCGCG
rnacentral:rRNA from 1 species